AGCUACAUGUGUGAGAAAAGCAGAGCUCACAUUGCUGUGUAUGCCAAUACGGCAACUUUGUCACAGGCGAAGGAGCAGUGCAGGCGCCUAGGCGGACGGUUACCCGCUGGAGGUGAUGAGGUCGACUGCCUAAAUCACGCUUUGACUACAAUGAGGGGAGGUUCUCCAGCCAAGGGAAACAAGCCAUGGGUAGAGAAAUAUGAUGAACAACCACUCAAUGUGGCAUCACCCAGCUACACUUUGCAUGACAGCAAGGAGAGAGCGAAGUGGCAUGUCGCACGACAAAUGCACACUGUGGCAUGUGCUUUCAAUCUGACCUCGUUCUUUGAUGCCUCGCCAACUAUACCCGGAAUCAGAUGUCCCUACCACCCAUCGACUAUCAUCAAGUAUUUCCCCGUGGAUAUGACAUUUGCCAAAGCAACCUUACAUUGCAAGACGUUCAAUGCAAAGAUCGCAUCUAAGACCUCGUGCGUGCAGGACUUCCUGCGUCCCAGGGGCAGCUUUGCCUGGUUGGCCAGCCAACACGGCCAUUUACAGUAUGCGAGUGACGAAAAACUUUAUGAUCUAACAUCUGACCCAGCACCCAAGCACAAGGUUGUGUGUGAACUUGAAUCGGGUAAGCUACUUUAACCAUAGGUCAGUGUUGUUCGCUUGCCUCACCAGCACAGGCUUGCUUUGCACCCCCUA